UCAGAGUCGCAAUAAAGGAGUUUCUCAAUGUUGACCGCUGUGUUCUCGGUAUCUAGGGCAGAAGCCUGCGAGCAGAGGACUUCUGAGGCCCAUGCUUGACCUCAGAACACGAACUUACUAUCAAGCUUAUUAAUAGACGGCAUACCUCCUGCUAUUGUGCCUUUUCAGUCCCGUCUUUUGUUAUGUCUUCUAUGAUGCUGGAACUGCGUGUUACAUAUUUAUACAGUAAGAGAGAUCGUCAUCACCAUGCUAUCAACUAGCUUCCAAUAAAACUGACUUCCAACCAAAUAUCAGAAUCGCCUAUGAAAUGGGUGUGACACCUUGUGAAGUCGUUGGCCAAAUGGGUCCGGUAAAACCUCCCAAACAUCACAGACUAUUGCCAAGUCAAUUAGUUACUUCCAGAAUCUGAUAGUAAGCCCCUAUGGCUGAAUACAUAAAUUACAUCACUGAAUAUGGAGAGAGCAAACUGGGGUCCAGCCAGAAGCUUCACUCCUGCUGACGAGCACUCGUGGCACCAUGAAUCAAGUCUGGAAGGUACCGUGCAUGCCACCAGACAGAAAAGUCACCAUCAGUUUAAGCCAGCUACCAGUUCUGAAACCCGCAACAGAGGCCUGUCUGCAAGACACCAGGUUCAAUAGAGACACAAAAGUAAACAGCCAUUUUCUUAAAAAAUUGGAUUUAAGGUCCACU
rnacentral:lncRNA from 1 species